GAAAUGCGAUACGUGGUGUGAAUUGCAGAAUUCAGUGAAUCAUCGAAUCUUUGAACGCACAUUGCGCCCUUUGGUAUUCCAAAGGGCAUGCCUGUUCGAGCGUCAUUUGUACCCUCAAGCUUUGCUUGGUGUUGGGCGUUUUUGUCUUUGGCCCGCCAAAGACUCGCCUUAAAAUGAUUGGCAGCCGGCCUACUGGUUUCGCAGCGCAGCACAUUUUUGCGCUUGCAAUCAGCAAAAGAGGACGGCAAUCCAUCAAGACUCCUUCUCACGUUUGACCUCGGAUCAGGUAGGGAUACCCGCUGAACUUAAGC
rnacentral:misc_RNA from 1 species